rnacentral:rRNA from 1 species
GAUCAUGGCUCAGGAUGAACGCUGGCGGCGUGCCUAACACAUGCAAGUCGAACGGAGAAUGAGAGAAAGCUUGCUUUUUCUUAUUCUUAGUGUCGGACGGGUGAGUAACGCGUGAGCAACCUGCCUUUCAGUGGGGGAUAACGUCUGGAAACGGACGCUAAUACCGCAUGACACAUGACUGUGGCAUCACAGACAUGUCAAAGGAGCAAUUCGCUGAAAGAUGGG